AACACAUGCAAGUCGAGGGGCAGCGGGGGAGAGGGCUUGCCCUCUCCCGCCGGCGACCGGCGCACGGGUGAGUAACACGUAUGCAACCUGCCCUCUGCAGGGGGAUAAGCGGAAGAAAUUCCGUCUAAUACCGCAUAACGCCCCGGGGAGACAUCUCCGCGGGGCCAAAGGAGGCGACUCCGGCAGAGGAUGGGCAUGCGGCGCAUUAGCUAGUCGGCGGGGUAACGGCCCACCGAGGCGACGAUGCGUAGGGGUUCUGAGAGGAAGGUCCCCCACACUGGUACUGAGACACGGACCAGACUCCUACGGGAGGCAGCAGUGAGGAAUAUUGGUCAAUGGGCGAAAGCCUGAACCAGCCAAGUCGCGUGAGGGAAGACGGUCCUAUGGAUUGUAAACCUCUUUUGCAGGGGAGCAAGGACGGCCACGUGUGGCCGUUUGGAGAGUACCCUGAGAAAAAGCAUCGGCUAACUCCGUGCCAGCAGCCGCGGUAAUACGGAGGAUGCGAGCGUUAUCCGGAUUUAUUGGGUUUAAAGGGUGCGUAGGCGGAACUGUUAAGUCAGCGGUAAAAAAAUUAAUUSGGGGCUCAACCCCGUAKUGCCGUUGAAACUGGCGGUCUUGAGUUGGGGCGAGAAGUAUGCGGAAUGCGUGGUGUAGCGGUGAAAUGCAUAGAUAU
rnacentral:rRNA from 1 species